GGCCGAAUGAUGUAUAGAGGACUGCCUGCCAGUGACAUUAGUUUAACGGCCGCGGUAUCCUGACCGUGCAAAGGUAGCAUAAUCACUUGUUCUCUAAAUAAGGACUGGUAUGAAUGGCCACACGAGGGUUUUACUGUCUCUUACUUUUAAUCAAUGAAAUUGACCUUCCCGUGAAGAGGCGGGAAUAAACAAAUAAGACGAGAAGACCCUAUGGAGCUUUAAUUAAUUAAUUUAUAAGAAACAAAUAUAUAACCACCAAGGGACAACACAACUUCUUAUAUAAAUUAACAAUUUAGGUUGGGGUGACCUCGGAAUAUAAAACAACUUCCGAGUGAUUUUAACCGAGACUUACCAGUCAAAGUAAUUAAUCAUUUAUUGAUCCAAAAUUUUUGAUCAACGGAACAAGUUACCCUAGGGAUAACAGCGCAAUCCUAUUUAAGAGUCCCUAUCGACAAUAGGGUUUACGACCUCGAUGUUGGAUCAGGACAUCCUAAUGGUGCAGCCGCUAUAAGGGGGUUCGUUUGUUCAACGAUUAAAGUCCUACGUGAUCUAGUUUUUAAAAACCGGGGGGAAGGGGUGA
rnacentral:rRNA from 1 species